GAUGAAGAACGUAGCGAAAUGCGACAAGUAAUGUGAAUUGCAGAAUUCAGUGAAUCAUCGAGUCUUUGAACGCACAUUGCGCCCCCUGGUAUUCCGGGGGGCAUGCCUGUCCGAGCGUCAUUGCUGCCCUCAAGCACGGCUUGUGUGUUGGGCCGUCGUCCCCCUCCUAGGGGACGGGCCCGAAAGGCAGCGGCGGCACCGCGUCCGGUCCUCGAGCGUAUGGGGCUUCGUCACCCGCUCCGUAGGCCCGGCCGGCGCUUGCCGACGACCAUCAAUCUCUUUCUCCAGGUUGACCUCGGAUCAGGUAGGGAUACCCGCUGAACUUAAGCAUAUCAAUAAGCGGAGGA
rnacentral:misc_RNA from 1 species